rnacentral:rRNA from 1 species
CCUACGGGUGGCAGCAGUGAGGAAUAUUGGUCAAUGGGCGCGAGCCUGACCCAGCCACGUAGCGUGAAGGAUGAAUGCCCUACGGGUUGUAAACUUCUUUUAUAAAGGAAUAAAGUGAGGCACGUGUGCCUUUUUGUGUGUAGUUUAUGAAUAAGGAUCGGCUAACUCCGUGCCAGCAGCAGCGGUAAUACGGAGGAUCCGUGCGUUAUCCGGAUUUAUUGGGUGUAAAGGGAGCGUAGAUGGGUUUGUAAGUCAGUUGUGAAAGUUUACGGCUCAACCGUAAGAUUGCAAUUGAUACUGGCAGUCUUGAGUACAGUUGAGGUAGGCGGAAUUCGGGGUGUAGCGGUGAAAUGCUUAGAUAUCACGAAGAACUCCGAUUGCGAAGGCAGCUUACUAAACUGCCACUGACAUUGAGGCUCGAAAGUGUGGGUAUCAAACAGGAUUAGAUAUCCUUGUAGUC